AACGCACAUUGCGCCCGCUGGUAUUCCGGCGGGCAUGCCUGUUCGAGCGUCAUUAUAACCAAUCAAGCUUUGCUUGGCUUUGGGGCCCGUUGUACCGGCGGCCCUUAAAAUCAGUGGCGGUGCCGUCUGGCUCUAAGCGUAGUAAUACUUCUCGCUAUAGGGUCCAGCCGUCCACCCGCCAGAACCCUCAAAUUUCUCAGGUUGACCUCGGAUCAGGUAGGGAUACCCGCUGAACUUAA
rnacentral:misc_RNA from 1 species